UCAUAUAAUUCCAUUUUUAAUUUUUUUAAGAACAUUUAUGCUUUUUUUUUUUUUAACACAGAGUUUCACUCUAUCACCCAGGCUGUAGUGCAGUGGCGCCAUCUCAGCUCACUACAACCUCUGCCUCCUGGGCUCGAGCCUUCUUCCCACUUCAGCCUCCUGAGGACCUGGAACUACAGGGGCACACUGCCACACCCAGCUAACUUUUGUGUUUUUAAUAGAGACAGGGUUUUGCCAUGUUGCUCAGGCUGGUCUCGGACUCCUGGGCUCAAGUGAUCCACCCACCUCGGUCUCCCGAAGUGCUGGGGUUCCAGGUGUGAGCCAGUGUGAACCAGUGUGCCCGGCCUAUGCUAUCUUUCAUCAUGGCUGCAUCCUUUCUUUCCUACCAGCAGGUUACGUGGUUUUCAAUGUCUUCACAUCCUUGACAGCUAUGUCUUCUCAUUUUACCCAAGACCUUCUGCCAGAGCAGGGCAUACAAGAUGCAUUCCCAAAAACAAUACUGAGAGGAUAUGGAAAUUGUGGCCUUGAUAAUUUAUAUUUA
rnacentral:sRNA from 1 species